rnacentral:lncRNA from 1 species
AUGUGCCCCGGUCGGGCGCGUUCCGUAGCAGAGCCGCACAAGGGGUUUUCCGCAGCCUGGGAAGCCUCAAGGGAUCGCCGAGAGCACCCGGAGGCCGCCACCCCGAUUGCGAGCAGCUGCCGCGGCGUGGGCGGGGCGAGCAGGAGCAGCGGCCACCCCCCACUCUUCCAUAGGCAGCUCCAAGGCAGCGAGAGCCACCAGUGUAUGGGGCAGCAAGCAGGGGCCGGUGCGGCACUGCGCCUCGGAGGGCGCAGGGAGGGGGCCCCCACGGUAGGGAGGGACGGUCCGCGGGCCAAGCCGGAGGCAGAAUUCCUAUUUGAAGUGGAUGACCUGGCCACAUGCGAAGCAUCUUCUCAAAGCCUGUCCCUGCUAGGAUUUAGGCUGCAACACAGGAUGAAAAAGUAGUGGAUCUGUUGUUCUGAGGCAGAAAAUAAUGCUCAGAGUCCAUGAGGCCAUAUGGAAUUCAUCUGAGUGCUAGAGAAAUUAGUGGACAUUAUAGCAGGAUCGGACAUUAUAUCUGGACCUCUCUCAACUGUUUACCAAAGGUCAUGGGAGUCUGGGGAGAACCAUGCUGACUACAGGCAGCAUUAUACGUAUCUACAGAAGGCACGAGAGAAGACCAAGAAAACUGCAGACCUAUUAGUCUAACCUCGAUCCCUGGGAAAGUUAUAAAGAAGAUUGUCCUGAGGGAUAUUGAAAGGCAUUUAACUAACAAACAAAGUUAUUAUGAGGUUUAGUAAGCAUGUGUUCAUCAAGUUAAAGUUCUGCCUUAGUAGUUUGAUCUUCUAUGAUGAGAUAGUGGUGGAACACCCCCUUGGUGGAUGAAGAGAAGGUGGUUGAUGUAAUCUUCCAGGAUUUUAGUAAGAACUUUUCAUCCUUCUGGACGAAUUGUCUGUGAGAUAAGCAGGAUCACACUACGCUGGGUGAUGAACUGGCUUGAGCUCAAAGGAUUGUAGUAAAUGGGGCUACGUCUGACUGGUGGACAGUCGCCAGAAGGGGUCAGUUCUAGGCCACAGAAUCACAGAAUUGUCUAGGUUGGAAGAGACCUCAAGAUCACUGAGUCCAACCUCUGACCUAACACUAACAAGUCCUCCACUAAACCGUAUUGCUAAGUUCAACAUCAAAACGUCUUUUAAAGACCUCCAGGGAUGGUGACUCCACCACUUCCCUGGGCAGCCCAUUCCAAUGCCUAACAACCCACUCAGUAAAGAAGUUCUUCCUAAUAUCCAACCUAAAACACUCCUGGCGCAAAUUUAGCCUGUUACCCCUCAUCCUGUCACCAGACACAUGGGAGAAUAGACCAACAAAUAGGCCAGUCCUAUUUAACAUUUUUAUCAAUGAUCUGGAUGCAAGACUGGACUUCAUCCUUAUCAAGUUUGCCAAUGAUAAUAAACUGAGAGGUGCUGUUGAUUCA